rnacentral:lncRNA from 1 species
AGUGGCCAAGUAGCAACAAGAGAUAUGAUUACAUUCUCUAUAAAUGAAGGAGAAGGGUCUGGGGAAGAACACACCGCCAGCGAAAAGAAAUCCUCUUCUCAUAUCACUCCUUCAUCAUCCAAUUUGUGUAGAUUAUGUAAUGGCUUUCAAGCUACUUUAUUUUGUAUUUUGUAAAUCUCAUUUAUAGUGAAUAACAAAUACAAACACAAUUUGUGUAGAUUAUGUAAUGGCUUUCAAGCUACUUUAUUUUGUAUUUUGUAAAUCUCAUUUAUAGUGAAUAACAAAUACAAACACAAUCCUAGCGGAUAUAGCCGAAUUGGCAAACCACUUAAAUCCCAUAUUUAUGUACCUUUAUUUUGAAAUCAUUACCAUGAAAAGCGCCUUCAACCAACAAUGGAAAUCUCCUCAGAAAACCUAAAACCAAAGAAAUGAAAUCCCAAUAAUCAUAAUGAAUCUAUAUUUCCUCCCUCACUUGAACCCCAAAUCAAAUUCAGUUACGUAAACUAUUAUUCAUAGACUACUGGAUUUUUAAUUAGGAGGCAACCAUAACAUCACACCAAAUUGAUCAAGGCAACCAACCGUCUUUCUGCAUCUCUGCACCGGUGUUCGAACUCCACCGCCAGGCAGCAGCAGCUAUGCUGGCUUUGGCCAGUCACACCCACUAAUGGCAGCCAUGGAAGACAAUGAUGACAUCCUAAGACUUCUACGACAAAACCACCAUCAAGGCUCUCACUGUCCAAGAGAACCAAUCCAUGUGCACUUUCCUCUCCCACCACAACGAAGAAGACGUCACCUUUUAUGGUUCUCGACAUAAGACGAACUGAGUGGUAAACCGGUGGAGAGAGAGAAAAUAAAGAAAAUAGUGAAGAGGGAGAAAAUGGUAAGUCCCAUUUUCUCAUUUAUAUUGUUGUUAGCUAUCAAUGCUUCAUUAUUAAUAGUCUAAUAUUAUUUUGGUUACUAAUCAGUUGGAUUUAUGUUGAAGCUUGCAGGUUUGUUAGAGAAAAUGUGAUUAUUGAUAUCUAUGUGAACCUAACAUAUACAUAUGCAUUGCAAAUGAAAGAAAAAGAGUUGAGUUGUGUAAAGAGUUUGAGUUGUGAAGGUAUUCAAGGCCCAUAAAGAAUGCCUUGAAUACAAAAUAAUGAAAUCUUGUAUAUGUUAGGCGUUGAGGGAAGGGCUUGUAUUGGGCGUCGGGAAGUGCCCAUAUAAUAAAAUGGAAAGUAAGAAUUUAAUUACAAAAUGGGUUUAAGGGAACAGGAGUUAACUCAGAAAAGGUAUUUGGAGCCCAGUGAUAUAAGCAUGGUAUAGGAUGUGCAAGCUUGGGUACCUUAAGUAAGUGUUAACAUGAUUAGAAGGGAGUGAGUACAUUCAUCCAUCCCAAUUGCAUAUAUUUUAUGUAUUUGCAACAAUCGUCCCAUUUUGUUAUACGAUAUAUUGUGUUUCGAUUACAAAUAGUUUUAUUUUAUUUUUCACCAUAUCUUGGUUACAUAAAGAAUUUAUUUCUAUAGCUAAGAUAUGACUCACACUCUAACUCGUGAAUAGUCAUUAUUCGCAGGUCAAGGCUUUACACUAUCAAAAAAUAAAACAAUUGACAGGUCCCCAUAACCACUCUAGAAAGACAUAGACAAACAAUUAACAAAACCAUCCUAACCAAUCAGGAAAAUACUCUUAUAAAUCAACCACACCUUCGUGUUCUUAUAAAUCAACCACACCUGCUUGGUAACCGACGAAUGACAACAUCAUCAAAUAUCAAAUGGGCGAUUUGUCGCACCAAGAAUAAGGAAUCUUUGACUGACUUUGGACCUCAAUCCAUCCCAAGCUGCUGGGGUUGCGGAAAUCAGGAGCGGGAAGUUCAAAUAUAGAUGGAAUAUAAUCCCAACUGAUGUAAGUAGACGUGUGAUGAAAGGGAGAAGUUAACGUGGUGGUUAUCUCUCAUUCUACAAAACUUCGACUCGCAUUGUACUAGGGGUGGGCACGGUUCGUCGGUCGGCUUUGAAGCUAAAACCGACAUGGAACCUAACCAUUUGGUUUUGGUUAGGUUCAGUUUCAAACGGUUUCAGUUUUGUUUCAAACCUCAUAAACAACGUAAUAUGGUGGAAUGAUUUUCUUCAUUAUACACAGAACUAGGAUUACAACUUUAUACAAGAGUUGUACAUCAUGAUCCUAUUCUAUUGCCUACAAUCAAGGCUAAUUGGAAACUAUAUAGGGAAUAAAUAAGGGGCAGAUAACUAAGAAUCAAUUUAUACAGUUGACUUAUUUAUUUGUGAUAUCUUCCUUAACGCUCUCCCUCAAGUUGGAGUGUAUGUUAAUGACACCCAACUUUCCGAGCAGUGUUUCAAACUGUGCUGAGCUCAAUGGUUUGGUAAACAAAUUGGCUGGCUGACUUUUGUUCGUACGUAAGCUGUUCGUAUCAUCCCUCCUUGAGCCAAAUGACAAUCUAUCUCUAUGUGCUUCGUUCUUUCAUGAAAUACUGG